rnacentral:lncRNA from 1 species
UUCUUCAAAAGUAGCUGCGGAUACCCGUUAGGAUCUAGAAGGAAAGAAAAAUCACCUCGAGCAGGAUCUUCUGAGCUCUUCCAGGAUGACACAGAGCUUUCAAGCCGAGUUACAAAGUUGAUUCCCAGUUUCAUUCCUGGCAGCAAGGUGUCACAAGGAUAGUCAAAACUCUGCCACAGAAAGUUGGCAGUGUCAGUGUUGUUAUCAUUUUCUUCUCUUACAACAAGAUUUCCGGUCUCCAAGAGCUCUACGACUGCAUUCUCUGCAGUUCUUGACGAAUUCGACGACCAAACAAUAUCUUUGGUGCUAUUGUAUAGGAUAAGUAUCCCUUCGCUGGUGAUAUUCAGGACUCCCAAACUAUUGGAAAGUGGAAUUUCUCUAUUUGCCACCCAAACAACCGUCUGAGGAGACUUCGUAAACCAUAAACCCAAGUAUCGGUUUCUUGAAUUUGUAGGACUGAAAAAUCCUAAUUCGAAGCUUCCGCCAUCUGAAGUUAGAGUCCCACCAUCUCUUAUGGAGUGGCUUGGAUUGAUAAUAGCUGGUGUGGUGGAGUUGGUUAAGAUGAAGAAUAAGAAACAGCUUACAAAGAUCGCUAAAAAUCUUCCCAUUGAAGAGAGCUUUUCACACUAAUCACUUCCGAUUACAGCAUAGCUAACGUUUUGGUAUUAAUUCAGGUUGCUUGGUAAGAGACAAGAUGACGUACUGCGGAGUUUCUCACCAGAUCUUUUCUGAAACGGAAAUGACACAAGGGUCUCACUUUUCAAAGUCCAUCACACAUUUUUGUCAUAAAUGAUGGUUGAAAGUUCUAGCGUUUAGUUUAACUAGAUAUGAUUUAUCAUAAAUAUAAAAUUUUAAUUAAAUUUAAUAUCUUAGGUAAUUUAAUGAAAGUUGCAUUAAAAUUAUAAUAACCAAAUAAUAAACUAAACAAUAAAAUUCAUAGAUUCAAAGAGAAAGCAUGUGAUAAUUGGGGGCAUUGCAGGUUCAUCCAGUUAACUUAGUUUUAUUGUUUUUUUAAAUUGAUUUUUUUUCAAUUUCAUAAUUUAAUAAUAUGUUUGAUUGAAAAUUAGGUUUAAUGAUUUAUUUUGAUUUGAUUUUUAUAAGGUUAUCUUGACUUUAUGACCUGUGAAUAGAGCUUAAUUAACGAGUUAACCUAUACCGAUUUCUUUCAUUUUUUGUGUCAUUUUUAAAUAAAAAAUUUGUAUAAAUUUCAUCAUUCAACAUCGGGUUCGAUAGGAUUGAUUGAGAAUUGAGCUUCAUAAUUUGUUUUCAUUUGCUCUUUAUAAAUUUAUCUCAGUCUCGUAACUAAAAUUGUGAAUUUGGCAAGUUAAUCUGCGUUAAACCAGAUAUUUUUUUUCUAUGAGGUUAUCUUAGUCUCAUGACUCGGGUCAUUGGUUUAAUUGAUUUUUUUUAAGUUUCAUCCUUCAACAUUGAACUUAUUAGGAAUUGAACUUCAUAAUUUGUUUCUUUUUUUUCAUGGAGUUAUCUUAGUCUUAUAAUUCGAGGUGUGAGUUUAACAUGUUAACUUAGGUCAUUUUUUUUUUAAUUUGUUUUUUAAUUGAUUUUUUUAUUCCAUCAUUCAACAUUGGGCUGAUUGAAAAUUAGGUUUUAUAAUUUUUUUUAUUUGUUUUCUAUAAGCUGGUUAUCAUGGUCUCAUAACCCGAAUCAUGGAUUUGACAUGUUAAUCAGACUUGACCCAAGUAUUCCAAUAUGUUGUUAUCUUAAUAUUAAAAAAAAUAUCAUCUUGAAUUUUUUUGAAUCAAACUAUGUUUUUACGAGUCGUCCGGGUUAUUUUUGGACUCGCAAAGUCAACUGGGUCACAUCGAUUUAACCCCCAGAUGAUUAUUUUUUUCACUAAAAAAAUAAAUUAGCAAUAUUUAAAUAUUUUAUUUUAUUAAGAAAAAAUUAACCCCACCCGCGGGUUAGAAAUCUAGUUACUUCUAAGAGAGCGUUUGUCUACGCGGUUAAAACGCAGCCCGCAGCCGUUUGGUAAUAAAAAAAAUCACUUUACUGUGCAUGGGGCCCACGUGUUUUUUGCGUUUAAAACGCUAGAAAGGAAAAGCUACGAAAACCAGCUUUGCAUGGAUUGUAGCACUGUCCGCAGUUGUUUUUUUUUUUUUUUUUAAGUGUGUUAAUUGUAUUAAUUUUUUUUUCUUAAAAAAACUAGUUUAGAGAAUUAAAUUCAUUCGCGAUGUGAACAAUAUUUUUUUCUCGAAAAACUGGCAUAGAGUGAAUUAAAUUCACUCGCAUAGUAAUAUUAAUUUUAUAUCUAAUAAUAUUUUAUCUAAUUUUAUUACACGCUCAAAAAGUUAUGAAAACUAUAGUUCUUAUCGGAUGAAUUUUGUACGUAAUGGAAUUAUAAAUAGUUUAAUGGAAUAAUAAAAAAUAUUUUAUAUAAAUUAUUAUUUUUUCAUGAUGUAAUAAGAGUAAUUAAUUUUACAAUAUUUAAAUUUAAAACCAUCAAUAUUAAUAUAUUUUUUUAAAAAAUUAUUUUACAACCUCAAUUUCAAAAGCAUUCUUAACCAAAUACAUUAAACUACUUUUUCUUCAACCUCAAUUUCAACCACAGUUUUAACCAAACAUCUAUUUUUUCAAACCAACCUCAACUAAAAGUAUUUUUUAUAAAACAACUUGUUUUAAACCACAACUACAACAGCUACCGCAAUACCAAACACACUCUAAGCAUGAUAAAAUUGCUGCUACACGCCCUGAGUCCUCCUGUAACCGCUGCGCACUUGAAUGCAAUUGCGUCGUCUAGCUUUUAUUGUUUUGUUUUACGUAUCUAUAAAGCCAGGUCACAUGAAAGCUAUAUGAAGAGAAACCAAUUGCUGCCGUCCUUAGUCCUCCGGUAACCUCUGCGCAUUUGAAAGCAAUUUUGUCGCCUAAAAUCGUCUAGCUUUUAUUGUUUUGUUGUUACGUAUCUAUAAAGCCAGGUCACAUGAAAGCUAUAUGAAGAAAAACCAAUUGCUGCUGCCCUUUUAGUCCUCCGGUAACCGCUGCGCAUUUGGAAGCAAUUGUGUCGCCUAAAAUCGUCUAGCUUUUAUUGUUUUGUUUUACGGAUCUAUAAAAAGCCAAGUCACAUGAAAGCUAUAUGAAGAGAAACCCAAACCACAAAUUUGGCUAAAUUUUGUUCUUCUUGUCCUAAAAUUCCUCUAUUUUCUCUUAAUUUAAUUAUGGGAAGAGUGCAAGUUACAUGAAAUCCUAGAAAGAAACUAAAAAAAAAAAGCAGAGAAUUGUGUGUGUGUGUGUGUGAGAGAGAGAGAGAGAGAGAGAUUUGGGAGUUGGGGGAUAUAGAGAGAAGUUGAUCAAAUUAGAAGAAAAGGGAGAAAUCUUUAGAAUUGAAUUUAAAAGGCUUCCUUGAUUGGAUGCACUAGUUGUGGGAAGAGGUUCUCUUUCAUUUAAAUCCAUUUUUAUUCUUGAUUAUUGAUGGGGGAUUGAAAAUCCUCAAAUUAUAAAAUUUAGGGUUUAUAUAUUUUGUAAAUGAAAUUAUGAAAUGAUGUUAAUUAUUAGUUAAUUGUGGGUUGAAUUAUAUGAUUAAAAAAUUAAUUGAAGAAAUUAAAAACCAUAUUAUAGGAAAUUAAGACUUUAAAGCCAACCAUUAUUUGGGAACUUAGGAAUUUGAUUUAAAUUGGGUCAAUUGACGAUGUUUCAAUGAUGUCAGGGAAGGUUUACGACUUGUUGUGAAUAUCAUAAUGUGAAUUACUAAAGGUUAAUUAUUGUUGUCCAUGUAUAUAAAUGAAGAAAAUGUAGAAAUUGGAUUGAAUUGCAUUGAUUUUUGAUGUUUUGGUGAUGUUGUAAAUGUUUGAGAUUUGUUGAAAUAUAACGAUGUGAAAUGAUUUGGUUGAUUUUUGGUGAUGUAAUUUAAAUGGAGAAAAUGAAAAUAUAGAAAGUAGUAAAAAAAAAAAGUGUUAAAUGAUGCCUUCUUACUGGUUUGUGUUUGGUAUCUCCUCUACUGACGUAAAAAUGCAUGAAUCCCCCAUCCAAAAGCGUGGUGGGGCAUAACGCAUUGUAAAUAUGUAUAUCACUGUACCUUACAGUAUGAUUUUCACAAAAGGUGGGAUUCUUGAUGGCCCCACAUCAUAAAUAUUAUGUCCCUUUUCAUUUAAUUGGAAUGGCUCCACAUCAUAAAUAGUAGAACGUGGCAAUAAUAAUAAUAAUAAUAAUAAUAAUAAAAUUAGUGUAAAAUCAUAAUGUAUUUGUAGAUGAAUGUAGGUUCAUGGUUCUAUCCUCUACAAGUCAUACUAUUAUGAAUGUAAAAUCAUAAUGUGUUGUAUUUUAAAUGAUAUUAUUUUGCUUAAAUGUUAUUGGUAAGAUAAAUGAAUGGUGUUUACCAUGGAUAUGAUUCAUGUGAAGACAAAUAUUUUGAAUCUUGGGUUAUGUUUGAAAAUGUGAAAGUAUAAGAAUUGGGUAGAUUGUGUAAAUGUUUAGGGUUAUUAAUGAUGUUGUGAGGAAAUUAACUGGGAGUGUGAAAAUUAAAAGGGUUAUAUAUGUGGUGCCUUAGUUGAUAAGUGGUAAGAAGAAAAAAAAAACAUUUAGGUUGGAUGCACAAUGAUAGUAGGAACGCGAAAUUGUAUCCUAAAUGCAAAUUAUAAUCAUUGGAAAAGGUGAUAUUGUACUUGACAUACAAUAAAAAAUGGCUUAAAAUAAUUUGAGGUUCUGAUUGGGAUGUUUUCCUGCAAAAUCAAUAGGGACAUAUGAGGUUAUACCAAUCGUCGAUAGAGCACAUAAUUACUUUUGAAAUAUGUUUGGAAAGGAUUACAAAAAAAGAGGAAAGGUUAUAAUAAAAGAAAGUUGGUGGAGUUGGUUAAAAUGAUGAAGUUUAUAACAAAGAAAAACAAAACAACAAGUAAUUCGUAUGAAAUGAACUAUAUGUAAGGUAUAAUUACAUGCUAAAAUUCAUUAUCCACACUACUAUGUAUGGUCCAUCAUAUCUACAAUUACAGCAAUGAUCUCGUUGAUAAGACUCUAUAUAUAGUUUUUGUAAUAGGUAGAAUUUUGUAAUUUAUUAUCUUAUAAUAAGUAUUUAAAUUAAUGUAUAUGUAAACCUAAUAUUUUAUAAUAUGAAGACUUAUCCAGGGUUUGAACCUUCUUAUUUUCUUGAGAAUUUUCUAAUAGUAGAGUUCUUCUCCCUUUUUUUCCUGAUCGCAGGGUUUAACUACUAAGAUUCUUGAUGGUAGGGUUCCUUCUUUUCUCCUUUUAUGAUGAUUGGGGUUGAUCAAGCUCUUCCUGAACUUUCCUAGUGUUUCCUGAUUGCAAUGUUGACAUCAAUCUUUUCUGAUGACAGGGUUAACUGGAUUUUCUAAUGACAAGGUUGAAUUUCUUGAUGUUUCAUAAUUGCAGGGUUUAACUAAGAUUUUCUGCUAUCAUAGCUCAAAGAUUAUUUCUUUGUUAACUCAGAUUCAUCAAACUUUUACUAAAUGUCAUUGAGGAUUUUUUCAUGAAAAAUCUAAAAAUAUUUAUUCAAUGUUUUGGGGUUAGAUGACAUGUAUUUAUCCUUACAUGGUUUGAAAUAUAGCCUCUCUCUUUGAUGCUCCAUCGUCAUAGAGUGCCAUUGGAAUUGCAAAGAUAUAUAGUUUAAGAAUUGUGAAAGGAAUAAACAAAGAUGAUAUUUUCUCAUUUUAUGCAAGGUUAAUUAGAACCGAUAAGUUUUGACAUUGUCCAGUAUAAUGAUUUGAACUUGCAAAGAACCAUGAUUCGCAAGUCCAUAAUUACCAAAUCCACUACAAGUCAAUAUGCAUACCAUUAAAACUUAGUUGCAUGAUGCGUGGUUCAAUUUUGUACGUGAGUUCAAAAUUUCUUUAGUCAUCUUAUGCCAUUUUAAUAAACAUCAAAUCAUUUCUGUAAUCAAAUCUUUUUUAAUUUUUCAGGAUUAGGUAGCCUUUACUUCACAUGUUGGAGUUUGAUCAAAAUAUUUUGUCAAAAUACCAUUUGAAAGAAGCAUGUCUUUAUUUCAAUACAAUCAUAAGAAAAAUAACACUACCAUAAAUUCAUUUAAAACCAACGAAAUUACCAAAGGAAUUUUUAUGUCAGUAAUUUACAGUGAUAUUUACCGACGAAUGUAAUUUUAUUUGUAAUUCUCCUGGUAGAUACCGACGAACUAAUUCCAUCUAAAAUUUUAUCGGUAUACACCGACGGAAUAAUGUUGUGGGUAUACACCGACAGAAUUCUAGACGGAAUUUAUUUAAUUUUGAAAAAAAAAACAGUGUGAUGAUGUGGAAGUUUUUGGGGGCGAUUUUACCGAUGAAAUUACAGAGGAAUUCAAACUGGGAUCUCCGUACAAUGAUGUGACCUAUUCACCAACAUAACUGCCGAUGGAAUCACCGACGGAAUAGUUCCAUCGGUAAAAGUUAAUAUAUCACUCAUGUUGCCGACCCUCUCCUCCCUUAUUUCUCCUUCUUCUUCCUCAUCUCUACAUCUAAAUAAACUCUCCCCUCCCAAACUGCAAGUAACCACCCCCUAAAAUAUCCAUCACUUCUCAACACAAAUCAUCUUUCUUCUUUUUUGUAGUCACAAUAUUUGUGUUCUCAUUUAUUGUGGAUUUUGUCAUUUUUUAUAAGAAAUCUAUCUUUUUUAAAUUUAACAUUAAAUUGUCAAUUUUAUUAUUAUUUAAUGUUUUUUUAAGUAUAUGUAUUUCGUUAGUGUAUGUACAUGUUUUAUUGUUAUUUCUCAAACAAAUUGUAGUAUGAAUGUAUAAUUUUGUACUUGUUAUUGGUUUGUUUUAGAUUUUAUAAAAUUAUAUUUGUUUGUAAAUUGUUGAAACUUAUAUCAAAUUAUCGAAUUAGAUGUGUUGUGAUGAAAUAAAUAAUAGAUUGUUUAAAGGGCCCGUUUUAAUUUUUAUCAAUGCUAUUGCGGAGUUGUACGUCAUUUUCGUAAAUUUAUGUGUAUAAAUUUGUAUGGAUGUUGAUAAUUGAUAAUGAAUAUUUAAAAGAAGUUUUAAUUAGCUUGUUGGAUAAUCUCGAGUUAAACCAAUAUUUUUGCAAAUUUAUUUACUUGACAUAGUUAAUUAAUACAAGUUGUCAUCGUUAUUUUAUAAAGGUUCAAUAGAAGUCAUGGAUGAUUGUGCAAUGAUGUAUCAAGAUUAACCACAAGAAUUAUGGAGGAUGGAUUAUUGUAAUGAGAUUCAAGAUUUUAUUAAUUUUGCAACAUUUAUGUUGAGAAAUUUUAGUGGAUGCGAUAUUAGAUGUCCAUACAGGAAGUGUAAAAAUAAAGCACAAUACUUUGAAAAUACGUGAUGGAGUCAUGAUACAUGGAAAACAUAUUGAAGCAAAAUGCAAUUCUCAUUCUCUAGGUAACUUCAUAUUAUCUAUGCCUUGACAUCAUUUUACAAGCUACUAGUCAUUGCUGAAGAUAGGGAUAGGGUGAUUGUGUGGUAGGUACCACAAAUCUUCACAAACUCAAUAUGUCAUUUGCUCAUCAACUUCUGGACGUGAUACUUGAAAUUUUUACAAUUUUCAAUCGAAUGGCCUAGGACCCCAUCAUGAUAUUCACAUCUCGCAUGUAGAUUAUACCACCAAAGAAAUAGUGAUUGUAUGAGAUUUGGUGGAGUCGGGGCAACAAGUCUGAAGUCUGACAGAUGUUGGUAGACAAACUCGAGAGGCAAAGGUAUGUCAGUCUUUGACAAAGGCACUUGAGCAGUUGAUGUUACAAUAAGACCUGGCUAGACCACAUAAAUAAUAUGUCCCACCUGAGAGCCAUCUUCUGAUUCAUCUCUUAUCAUUAUUCUGGAACCCAUGAUAGGACCUUCAAUUUUUCUUAUUUUGAUAGCUUGUUCAAUUCUUUCGACAAUCCUCAUAGUAUCACAUAAUUGUUAAGUUGAGCUUCCUAUUAUAUGCUUAUAAUAUGGGGAUUUGAACGUGUUAGUGAACAAUUUCAUCAUUUUUGUUUCUAUUAGCGGAGGAUGGAAAUGUAUUGGCUUAUCUUGCCAUCUUUGUGCAUGUACUUUCACGGACUCUUGGUUUCCCUUCUCCUUGACCACUAGACUAGUUUUGUUAGGAGCAGUUUUCAAAUUGAAUUUAUACUGCUUCAAGAAGGCAUCUACCAAAUCCUUUCAUUUAUUAAUCUUGGUACUAUGUAAUCUCAUAUACCAACUCAAGACAUAUCUUAUCAGACUAUUCUGAAAGAAAUAGAUUAGCAUUUGACAAUAUGAAUAACUUCAUCCAUCUUGUUGCAGUAUGAUCGAAGAUGAGUGUUUGGGCAUUCUAUUCUGAUAUACUUGACGAAGUCUGGCACUCUAAACUCUUUUGGCACCACGAUGUUUUAAACCAAACAAACUCCAACUGCCAAUACAGGGUCAUUUAGAUCAUUUCAAAAGUAGUUAUCAUUGAAUUAAAAUGAAAUAAGGAGAUGAAUGGAAGACAACAUUUAAAAUUAAGUAUGGAUUGUAUGAAUGGUUAGUAAUGUCUUUGGUUUAACUAAUGCCCUUGUACAUUCACGAGGUUAAUGAAUCAUGUGUUGAGAUUUUUCAUUGAAAAAUUUAUUGUUGUCUAUUUUGAUGAUAUCUUGAUUUAUAGCAAAAGAUUAGAUGAGCAUAUUAAUCAUUUAAGACAGGUUCUUAAAAUAAUCAAACUUGUAAUUGAUAUUAUUCAAAGUUUUAACAUGCAUACUAGUUGCAAAAAAUAUCCAUGUUUAAAUUAAUAUAAAAGAGGAUAUUUACUUGUUAAAGUAUUUUAAGGUAAUAAAAUUUUUGUUGUUUUUAAAGAUGAAUCAUUUAUUUUUAAAGUUUUAUUAUUCACCACUUAUACAACUAGAAUGUUUGCAACAUGCCUUUCAAGAUUCCAACACCACCACCUUAGUUUAGAUGUACUUCUAAACAAGGUAUUUGAACCAAAGAAUAUAAAACUUAAAUAUUUCUCAAUCAGAUAAAACUAAUAUCUAGAUUUAAAAGGAAAACAAAAGCUUAAAGUGAGAAGAAAACAUUAAAAUGUGAAGUGAAGAAGAGUAUGUAAAAACCUGAAAAAUUCAAGUUAAAAACUCUUUCUUCAUUCCUUUUUUAUAAUGAAUUUUGAAAGCUAAAAAGUUAAAUAAUUAAUAAGAAUUAAUUCUCACCGUUAUCAAUAUUUGAUUAGCCACCAUAAAUAAAAAAUUAAAUCUAGAAAAACAAAAAUUAUUUAAAUAGUAAAACCAAGAAUUUUUUUAAGAUUAAUUUAUUAUCCACCUAUAAUUUAUUUAAAUCACAUUAAUUAAACAAAUUUCCACCGCAAACAAUAUCGUAUGUGCUAUAGUAUAGGACAAGUAUCCCUUUGCUGCUAAUAUUCAGAGCCCCCAAAGUAUUGGAUAGAGGAACUUCUCUGUUUGCUACCCAUAUAACUGUACUCGAGGACACUCUUUAUACCAUAUUCCCAUGUGACGGUUUUUUGAACUUCCACGGCUGAAAAAUCCUAGUUCAAAGCUUCCUCCGGUUGAAAGUAGUGCUGCACCAUCUCUUAUGGAUUGGCUCGGGUAGAUUAUGCUUUAAGAUAAAGAACAAGAAAGAUCAAGCAAACAGCACUGAAAAAGUUCCCAUUCAAGAGAGUUUUCAUGUAUGUUCACGUUUGAUCACACAGAAAGAUGUUUUGUUAUUAGAACAAGUUACUGGUCAAAAGGGAAGAGUUCUUCUAGGAAAUGACAUGAGAAAUGUGUUUCUUCCUUGCAGACUCAAAAUAUUUGGCUCCAAGUAGCUUCGGUAAAAAUUGGCCUCCUUUUUUUCAGUAACCAUAAGAUCCAUCUAUUGAAGACAGAAAAGUCCAAUUUUCAAGAAGUUUCAAUAAUUUCGCAUCAAAGACAUCCACAAUGAGCAUAACAAAGCUUCAGCUUAGUAAUAUACACAAUUAGACCAGUGGAUGCCCUUGAUUGUUGAGGUUGAAAUGGAGGCAUCAUCCAAAACUAUUUCAAAUGACCUGUGAACUUAUCAUGAAUCAAAGCUAUCUAUGCGUAUUGGAAAUGAUGCUGCUUGCUGUUCUUGUUAAUAGCUAAUGCAUUGCAACACCAUUUUCAUGUAUUGUUCAGAGCAGAGGUGGAAAGCAGAGCAAAGACAAAACGGAAGGUUAAAAUAAACAGGCAGGCAAGAAAAAGAUGAACAAUAAUCAUAGUUUCAUUGUAAUAUAUGAUAACUUAAUAACGAUUGACUAGACUGUUUCAAUAAAAUUGCAAAACACAACGGUAUAUAUAUAGCUCUACCAUGCCGUUUUGGAACGGUAGAACCGGUAGAAAACAAGAUUGGAUAUCAGCAAAUAGAAUUGCUGAAACCAUGAAAUCUUAUUGAUCGACUUAGUCUGAUCUCUCUCUUUUACUUGAAUUUUCAAGUGAUGAGUUACCGUGCCUCUAAUGAUGUCAAACUAGCUUCAUUUGCUGAGUAAACAUUGUUCCUGUUAGAUGAAGUAUCCUGCUCAAGUGGGUUUCUUCCGAUGAAAAAUCCAGGCUGUUUAGGCUGAGGCAAAGGAUUCUCAUUGCCUAAUAUUUGAACAAUAGUCGGCAUGUUUGGCCUAUCUUCGGGUCGUUGUUGCACACAUAAUAAAGCCACAUGAAUGCAUCUUAGCACUUCAGACACAUUGCUAGAGUUGGCCAAGCAUUCAUCAAUCAAUUCCAAGGGUGUCCCUUUAAUCCAAAGUAUCCAUGCCUGAGAAAAAUAAAACAGCAACAUCUUUUAUUAACUGCAGAAGCAUCCUUGAUGUAACUAAGGUACCAUGGCAUGCCUUUUGACGAGUCUGAAAGAAACUGCGCAGUAUAAUAUCUCCUCUCGGUUAAUAAAGAACAUAUAAUUACAUGUAUAAAUAGAAGCUUACAUGCCCAAGAAGGUUGAGGUUCUGGUCCGAGUGACGAAAUCCCCUGUUUUUGUUUCCACUCACUAUCUCCAGGACUAGGACACCAAAGCUAAAGACAUCGGUUUUCACAGAGAAGUGUCCAUUUGAUGCAUACUCAGGAGACAUGUAGCCACUGAAGAACAUUAAUAAUAAAAAAAAUUAAAAAAAUCUUAGAACACAAAUGAAAAUCUUCAAGGCUAGAUUAUGGACACUUACUAUGUUCCAACCACCCUAUGAGUAUUGGCCUCCGUUUGAUCUCCAUGAAACAUUCUAGCAAGGCCAAAGUCUGAAAUUUUUGGGUUUAGCUCAUUAUCUAGUAAAAUGUUGCUGGCUUUGAUAUCUCUAUGGAUUAUUCUCAGCCUGGAGUCUUGGUGGAGAUAAAGAAGCCCUCGAGCAAUUCCAACAAUAAUGUUCAUGCACUUGCUCCAAUCCAGUAAUUUUCUUCUUGUCUGGUCUGAUCAAUUUCUAUCCAUUUUAGUCAAAUAACUUCUUCAAUUCUUACAGAAAUAAAAAUAUAGAUGAUAACAGAUCAAAAACAAAGUGCUGUUGAUUCAGCCAUGUGCUCACCAAAAAUAAAGAAGUCCAAGCUUUUGUUAGGCAUGUAUUCAUAUAUUAACAUUUUUUCAUCUUCUUGGAUGCAGCACCCAAGAAGCUUGACGAGAUUGCGGUGUUGAAGUUUAGCUAUUAAUAUAACUUCAUUUUUGAACUCGUUCAAUCCUUGACCAGAACUCUUCGAAAGUCUUUUCACUGCUAUUUCUUGUCCUUCUGCCAAUAUUCCCUAAGUUAUCAUCAACAUUCUUCAGUUAGUUUCAUGUUAGAUGAUGGUUCGAACAGGUAGGUGACUUUUUUUUACCUUAUAUACUGGUCCAAAACCACCUUCUCCCAGCUUGUUUCUGCUUGAAAAAUUACCAGUGGCAUUUGCAACGGUGCUCAAAUAAAAUAUCGGUAACUCCAUGUCUUCUUUCCCUACAUCCUUGAAGUUAUCAUUCUUUCUAAAAUUCUUCCUCCGCAUGCAAAAGAUCAUUCCUAACAUUAGCAUGCCCACGCCAAAUACAACGGUGCUGGCAAUUAUCCCUGCUUUCUUCUUCCCAUUGUUGUUCCCUUUUUCCGCGGCUACUCCUGAAUGCAUACAAGUAUUUUUAGAGGACCCCGAACAUAUUUCCUAGUUCAAGACUUGCAUCUUAAAUAAAAGUUGAAUUAAAGUUAAUUUUAAAGGGGAACAAAAGAAGAAAAAGAAACCGGAAAUUGAAACUUGGGGAAAAUAAAGUUGAAGUGGUGGACUAAGAAAGCAGACUCAAGACUUUCUACACGGGUAGUUAAUUACUACGCUAAUGUUUUCCAGGCUUUUGAAGUCUGAACCCAAGAGAGAUGCUUCUUCAAUUUUACAUGUUCUACCUACAUAAUAAAGAUGGGAAAGAAUUAAAUCAAUAAUUAAUUGUUUAAUUGGAGACAUGCCUGAUUCUGAACCAGCCAACCUAACAUAGAGAACUUGUCCAUCCACAUCUGACCUUUUUAUAUCAACCAGGUCACGGGACCAAAUCAGGCAGCCACUUCCACCUCCCGUGAUAUCUGAAUUUGCAUAAGCUGUGCAGAAGCAGUUCUUCAAACAUAUUUCCUCACAUUCCUUGAGAUUGAUGCGCUCGUCAAACCAGGAAAAAGAUGUUACUGGAAGUUUACUUACUGUAUAUUUCGUAAAGACAUCUUUAUCGCUGCAAUUCAAUGGAGUUUUCCGGAUACACCCUUUUGACCAAUCAAGCAAAUUCCAACUUUCUGGAGACUUGGGCACGAAUCCAUCCAGGCAUCCACACGGAGGAGAUGCAUUUAUAUCACAGCUAGCAUAUGCACCACAAAUUGCAUAACGUUCACACGAAUCGGACUGCAACGAAGAAUAAAACACCCAAGAAUGUGUUCGAUCACUCCAUUUGUAGGUGCUUGCAAGGCCCGAUGGACUAAGUUUAAACCUUGAAAAACCUGAACUUCGGAUGCCAAAAGAGAUCUCAUUGUUAUUGAGCACAAAAUCAGUAGAAUUUUGACCGAACGUAAUAUUUGGAGUAGGGGGCGGUGCAUUGGUUCUAAAUAGUGUUGCUUUCCCUUGCUUCAAAAGUAGCUGCGGAUACCCAUCAUUAGCAUCUAGAAGAAAAGUAUAUUCUCCUUGAGCAGGAUCUUCCUCACUCUUCCAAGAUAACAGAAAUCUGUCCAGCCGAGUUACCAAGUUGAAUCCCAAUUUCAUUCCCGGAAGUAAUGUGUGACAAGGAUAAUCAAAACUCUGCCAUAAGAAGUUAUCAGGGUUAUUAUCAUUUCCUUCUCUUACAACCAGAUUACCUGACUCCAGGAGCUCUGCAACUGGAUCUUCUGCAGUUCUUGAUGGGUUUGACGACCAAACAAUAUCGUUUGUGCUACUGUAUAUGAUAAUUACCCCUUGACUGGAGAUAUUCAGGGCCCCCAAAUUAUUUGAAAGAGGAACUUCUCUGUUUGCUACCCACACAACCACCUGCUCCGGAGACUUCCCAUACCAUAUUCCCAAAUAUCGGUUGUUUGAACUUCCAGGGCUGAAAAAUCCCAGUUCAAAGCUUCCGCCAGCUGAAACUAGAGUCUCGCCAUCUAUUAUGGAGUUGCUUGGGUUAAUAAUACUAACUGGUGUGGUGCAGGUGGUUAAGAUGAAGAAUAAGAAAGAGCACGCAAAAAACUCUGAAAAUCUUCCCAUUGAAGUGUUUUCACGUUUGUUCACGCAGACGAAUGCUUUGUUACUAGACAAGUUACUGGUCAAAUGGGAGGACUCUUUCCAGGAAAUGAUAUCGGUCUUUUUCUUCCUUUGAACAGUAAAUAGUAGCCCCACAUUUAGAUUUUGAGGUAGACUAGCGUGCUGGAGAACAAAUCACAAAUAUGCUAAUAUGGACAGAAGUUAUUCUUGCAAAAAUUCCAAGUCGAAACAAGAUGGAUGUGAACUGCAAUGGCUCAAGGAUCCUAACAAUGAAAACUUUGGUAGCUGUUAUUACUCUCGUUAUCCUUCACUAUUGGCUUUAUUCCAACUGAGAAGCUUUUGUGGGUUCGCCCGAUAGGCUCUGUAAAAAUUGAUCUCGGCUUCGUUAAUUUCUUGAAAUGAUCUCUACCGUUGAUCUUGUCUGGAAUGGGAAAAACCGAAGGAGGGAGGAGAAAACUGAGGAAUAGAUGGAUAAAAUAUCCAUCUGUCAACGUGUCGCUUCGAAAAAGGGCUUGGACUUUCUUAAUUUAAAAUUGGGCUAGGUCCCUUAGCUGUUGGCUCGCAAAUGCUUGGUCGUGAGGCACAUUGCUCUGACUUUAAGUGCUCUGGCCCAGUUCUUAUUUAAUUCUUUCGCUCUUUCUCGUGUUUUAUUUAUUUUGGAAGAAUUUCAGAAAUUUAUAAAGGUUAUUAUCAUUAUAAUUAAAAACAAUUAUGGGAUUGAUUUAACUGUUCAAAUAACAGUAAACCAGCUUAAUAUAUUAUUUUACGCACUUUGUUGACAAACUUCAAUUGGCUAAAGUGCGCAGAGUAGCUGAGAUCGAGGGUUUGAUUCAUAGUGGAAGAAAAAUCAUUUUCAUUUGAUACAUGAAAGAGGACAUGUUAUAUGUUGGUUAUUUUUCAAAAAUAGAAAAAAAUAAAAGGGAAGAAUGACCUUACAUAAAGCAACCAAAAAAAAAAAAAAAAGAGAAAAUUGGCCCAGACACGUAGCUUGCCUAGGCUGCUAUUCAUAAGCCUAUAGUUUUUUGUUGUUAGUCAUUUGGGUUUUAUUUUACCCCUUUUUUUUUUAUCUUUUGAAUUUUUUUUCAAUUUUAUCCAUGGAGUGUUAUUUGUGUUUUUAGAUUUUUUUUAAUAUUUUUUAAUUAUAUCCUUUAAUAUAAUAUUUUUAUUUUAUUUUAUUUUAUCAUUAAUAUUAAAAUAAUUUUCAUAUUUUUUAUCAUGUAAUAAAAGUUUUUUUACCCCAUUUUUUGGUGUAAUAAUUUUUUAUUCAAUUUCAGGUUUUUAAUUCCUUUGUGUUUUUUGACCCCUCCUUUUUGUCUUUUUUCUUUGUACAAAUUUUAUCUUUUAAUAUAGAAUUUGUAUUUAAUUUUAUCCUUUAAUAUUGAAUUGUUUUUUUUUUUUAAUCUUUGAACCUGUCAAGUGAACAUGAUUAUGUUAAAGUAACUUUUUUAUAACUUAAUUUAAAACUCGAAGUAAAAAAAUAGUCAUAUCAGGAUAUUUGAAGUUUGAAUUAUUAUACAAGUUUCAUGAUAAUACCAAAAAGUUUUUGAUAAUCUAAAUAUUAUUUUUAUAUAUUUUUUAAAAAAAUUAAUCCAAGCCAUAACAAAAGCGUUGUCAAUAAACUAGUGUAUAAACUAAUUCUUAUGUUAUUUUAUUCUGUUCUCUCAUGUAAAAACAAAAUAAAAGGAACAGAAAGAACCACAAAAAAAGGUAAAUAAUUAGUAUCCUAAAAAGGUAAAUGAUACAAUAUCGAUCCAUGAUACAACAAACAUGCAUAUUGUAAGAAAUAAAGUUGUUAAUUUCGUUGGGGAUAGUGUUUUGUUUUUUAAUUGGAACAAUAUAUUUGUAUUUGGAAACAUUUUAACAUGUCAUUUUAGAAUUUUACUUUAUAUAUAUACACACACACAAUAUCCAUGUCCAUAAUUUGGUUUUAUUGUUUUGUAUUUUUUUUUUCUUUUUCUAGAUUAGUUUUUCUUUUCAAUUUUAUUCUUUAAUGAAAUAUAAAAUUUAUUUUAUAUUUUAAUUUUAAUCCUUAUUUUUUAAAUUGCUAUUAUUUGCUUUUAAUAUUUUUGUAAAAUUAAAAAUAUUUCUUUAAUUUUAUCUUUUAAUAUUUAAUUGAUUGAGAAUUGAGUUUCAUGGUUUUUUCAGAUAGAGCACUUUUAGGUCUAAUGACCCAAAUUGUAGAUUUAAAAAUUUAAUACGAGUUGAUAUAUUUUUAUAUGAACUUUUAUCAUUUUUUUUCUAUCAAGUUAUAAUUCAAUCUCAUGAUAUGCGACGCAAGUUUGCCAGGAUAAUCAAAGAUGGCUUAAGCCUAGUUAUCAAGAACACAUCUUUGUCAUGCUAACUCAAGUUCUCUUUUAGAAAAGAAAUUUUAAGUUAUUAUAAUAUUUUUUUAAAAAAAUAAAUUUAUUUAUUAUUGUUGUCUAUUUUUUUUUUAUCUAAUUAAUAUAAAAACAGCUUAUUUAACUCAACUGAAUGAUGACAUAUUUACUUAGAAUGAGAUUGUGAUAAGGUGAUAUUUUAAAGUAUUUUUAGCUUAAAAAUAUAUUAAAAUAAAAUUUUUAUAUUUUUUAAAAAUUAUUUUUGAUAUUAACAAAUCAAAAUAAUUUGAAAAUAUAAAAAAUAUUUAUUUUAAACAAAUAAAAAAUUUAAAAUUUUAAAAAACUCCGUUUGCACCUCAUUUUUAAAAGGCCUUAAAAGACUAAAGCUAAGGAUAUAUCUACUUAUACUAGCUCUCUUGUUUCAAUUAUCUUUAUUUUUUAUAUAUAACUAACUAAAUAUUACAAGUUAUGUUUGCCUUACAAGGCCUUACCAGGCAAUUGUCGAUUGAUAAGUAGGUUGAAUAUUAUUUUGGUCCUAAGAGCUAAUUAUUUGACCAUACAAUUGGCCAUAAAGCUGAUUAUUUAUUCCUCUAGGUGGCCAAUUAUAAUCUUGAGUAGAAUUGUCAACAUAACAACCUGAUAUGGGUUUGAAGAGUGUGCAGAUGCCACCAAAAUGUUCUAGAUGUGUACAAAUUCAUAGAUAAAUCCAUAAACAUGAGUAAUGUUUUUUAUUAUUAACAUGGAUGUCUAGACUAGUUUUUUUAUACCUCAACUAAUUUUAUGAGUCUUAAAAUUAACGAUCAUGUAAGCUUCCAGUGAGUCAUUAUAUGAACAAUCACAAAACUAGAAAUCAAACUCUUUAGUCCCAAGCUUUUACCACUAGAUUACCUCUUAAAUGAUUAAAAUGAGUAUUGCUUACCUUGACAUGACUAUGUCCCACUAAACAUUUCAAUUUAUAUGUUACCUUUAAAGAUUUUCUUUUUAUAUAAAAACACCUAGAAGUAAUAGCUAGGAAUUAACUUGUGAGGCGAUGUCAACUAGCUCACGAUAAAAUGGACGAAGAUUUUAUAAAAAUAUUGUCAAGUUAAAGAAUAAUAAAGCGGAUCAAAAUAGAUCAAAUAAGAGAUUAAGGUCUUAAGAAAACCAAGUAAACACAGAGAUUUAAAGCAGGUGAAAUAGUUAAGGUUUUUAAGAUAGAAAAACAUAAUAAACUAUAAGAGUUUUUUGGUUUUAAAAAAAUUUAAGAAAACUAAGAACUAUGCUAAGUAAAGCAGUAAGAAAAACAGUAAACAAAAAAUAUAAAGAAAAACAGUAAAUAAAAUUAAAAUUAAAAUAAUAAGCUUAUAAAAGUAAAUUGUAUGAAACAUAAAACAUACAUAUAUAGACAAAGAUAAAUUGCAAAGCAUAAAGUUUUAGGAAAAAAAAACUUGUAUUGAAAUUUUAAAAAAUUAAUAAAAAAAUUAUAAUGAAAAUGCUUCGGCAUUAAUAAAAAAGAAUAAAACUUAAUGAACCAAACUUUAAAACUAAACUAAACUAAACUAAUUAUAUUUUCUAGAUAAUUAUUAUUCUAAUUAAAUCCAAUAUAGGAGAAUAAUUGCCGUGCUUGUGAUAAAUUGUCGUCGUUACGUGCAAACUUGGCUUUAUCUCUUUGGUACUGUGGUUACUUUUGUAGUUAUGAUUUUAAAAAAAUAGUUUAAUAAAAAGUGUUUUUUGUGAGGUUUGUUUUUAAUUUUGAUGUGUUUAGUUAAAAUUGCGGUUGAAAUUAUAAUUUUUAAAAAAAUAAUUUGUUGUAUUUGAUUAAUAUGUUUUUUGUAUGAGGUUUGAUUAUAAAAUUACUUAAAAGGACAUUAUAUAUAUAUAUAUAUAUAUAUCAAAACAUUGUUAUUUUAUAAUUAUAAUUACAUAACGAAAUAAAUAAUCCUUGUACAUUAAUAAAAGUUUUUCAUUGUCCCAUCAAAUUAUUUACAAUUUCAUCUCGUAAAAAAUCUAUACAUCCUUGAAUAUAGGUACAAUAUCAUAAAAAUAAAUUGAAUAACUAUACAGUAAAUGUCAUGUUUCUAAUUCCAUGCUUUACAAUGUAAAUCUGUAGUUUCCUUGGGAUCAAUAUACAAUGUAAAGCAUGUACUGAAUAUUCUUCCUCUUUUAUGUACGAAGAGGUGAAGACACAACCGAAACCACCUUAAGUUAUGAAUCAUUAAACACUUUUUUAUUAUAUCAUAAUAAUUUAUUUUAUAUCUCAUUAACUUAAUUAAUUAUUUUGUGGUUGUGAUAGUUAUUAAUAUUGCAAUACAAUUAUGAUUUAAUUAAAUACAUAUUUUUAAUUUAAAAAAGUACUAUUCACUUUGCAAAGAUUAAAUAAUUAUAAGCUAUUAGAUAGAUUUAUUAGUUACACUGUAAAAAAUUAAUUAUCUUCUUCAUAAUUAGCUAAUUGUUUCCAAUUGUGAUAACUAUGAAUAGUAGACUAUAAUUUUAAAAGAAGGAUUUACCAUUAUCAUAAAGAAGAUAAAAGUAUUAUUUAAGUCAUAAAAAUUCAUUUUUAAGAAAUUAUAUAUGAACUAAAAAUUGUUUUGUACUUAAUGCAUCAUAAAUUAUACCUUAUUACUUUGUAAACUUGAAUACAUUUUUAAGUAACCAUAGUGAGCACAAAAGACUCCUAGAAAACUUGACAACUAACCCAUAAAGUUUCCCACAAAAGAAGAAGAAGAAGAAGAAAAUCUUAGCAAUUAAGAAGUCAUUGUUCAUAAAUAGUUGUUAUAUUAAAAAAUAUCAUGUUAUUUGUUGAUUAUAUAAAAUUUAGUUUUUAAUCUUUUUAUUUUUAUAUUUUGUUUUUCAGUUUUAUCCCUUAAAAUUUAAUUUGAUUUUUAUAUCCACUUCGGCCCUCAUUUUUUUUAUUGUUAUUUGUUUUUUUCUUAUUUUUUUUUUAAUUGAAAUGUUUUUUAUCUAUCAAAUUUGAGCUUCAUUAUUUUGAUUGUUAUUUGUUUUAUUUGAAAUAAUUUAUGAAAUUAGAUUAUUUUGUUUCAUUUUCAACCUCCUUCAACUUUUUCAUAUAUUAAAUUUGAUAUUCAUUCUUUUAAUAAACUUGAAAAGAAAAUUAAUAAGUUAUUUUUCAGCUCAUUUUUCAAGGCAUAACAAAACACUAUAAAGUAUUUUCUAACUUAUUUUUCAGGGCAUAGUCAAAUACUAAAAUGUGUUUUCCAAGUUAUUUUUAUAACAUUAUUAAAUAUCAAAAAAUAAUUUAAUUUUUAAAAAUUCAUUUUCUAUAAAAAUUACUUUCUAAAACACAACUACUUUCUAGCAAACAAACAUAUAUUUAUUGUAAUUUGAUAACCUGGAAUGCCCAGUACACCUUUUUAUGAACCAUAUAAAUAAGUUCAAGUAGAAAAAAAGGUUUGUAAGCACCAAUUGAUCACUUCAAUGAAAAUAGGUAUAAUUUUUUAUUUAACUUUUGAAUUGUGUUUAAAUUUUAUAAGGAGAUUUUACUGUUUUAUAGAAUAUGUUCUACGAUGGAUAUAUUAACUGUGAAGUUCCUAAAUUAAGUUAUUGUUUUUUAAUUUUAUUAUUUUUCCUAGUUAACUAUAAGCUCAAAAUCUAAUAUAUACAUUGAAUAAAACACCUUUAUACAUGAAUAAAUAUUAAAAAGUAUUUUAACACAAAAACAACUCAGUCAUGGAAUCAAGAGUAGAACAUAAUUAAAGAUAAUUCUAUUUAAAAUAAAACUUGAUUUAACUAAUAAAAAUCAAAGGAAAAUAUUUGUCAUUUCAUAAUUUAUUAAAAAAUAAUAAUUAAAGGAAAAAAAUCAAAUAUAAAUAAGAAAUAAAUUAUAGGAGCUGAUAUGAUUUAUUUAAAGAACAAAUACAAAAUUGAAAAAAAAAAAAGAAAAAAAAAGAGAAAACACCAAACUCAAUGCAUGUUUAAUGGAUGUUUGAAAGUGUAGUAAAAAUUAUUUUUUAAAGUGUUUUUUACUUAGAAAUAUAUUAAAAUAAUAUUUUUUUAUUGUUUAAAAAUUAUUUAAUUAUUUAAAAAUAUAAAAAAUAUUAAUUUUUAAAAACUAUUUUUAAAACUCAAUCCUUGCCUGGAAUACACGCCGCUGCAAUAAAUUGGGCCCGGCGAGAGCUUUGAAAUAUAGCCUUGAAAAGCAGUGUUUAAUUGCCGAGAACCUCUUGUACACCACCCACAUAGCUAGAAAGUCUUGUAAUAGAUUGGGUACUUUAUUGUAAUAUAGAGUCUUAGUUGUUGUCUUGUCAAAAUUUGAAUCCUAAAUAGAUGUAAUGUAAUUGGUAACAGAUAUAUGCCACGUAUUCAAGAUGAGGUUUUGAUAGUAACAUGUCACGUAGCUUUGAUAAAAAUAAUUCAAAGAGUACAAAGACCAAAUAAGGGCAAAACCCGUUUCUUAAAAAAAAAAGGUAAAGAAAGCAUACAGUGUUUUGGAAGAGAUUUUGAUAGUGUGAACCUAAAUAAACUACUGUAUCUUUGCCUCAUUGUGAGUUUGUAUUUAUUGUGAUUUGUUAUUUUAGCAGUAGGAUUAGGACCUUUGAUUGGCCGCACACCACAAUCCAAAGCCACCGACUUGGAGUUUGAAAUAUGAAAGCCUUUAUGGCCUGUCCCGGCUCCAGCUCACCGGCAACGCUUAUUCAAGUGGGACAUGAUCCAUCUAGCUUUAUAUAAUUUAUGAAAAAGUAAAUUUUCAGGUGACUUGAACAAUUGAGUUUCGUUCUUUCUGUCAUUGUUGGCAAGAGGAAAUUUGUGGAAUACAGAGUUCAAAGAGAGAUGCAGGAAAGAACAGUGUAAGAAGUUUGUUUUUCAGGUCUGCUCUGAUACCAUGUUGAUUAUGGCAGAUAUAUACUAGGAGUUUCUGCUCUGUAAAAUAUUCUCCGCUUCUUGUAUUAUUUAUCUGUUCAGCAACUAUAUAUAUAUAUAUAUAUUAUAUAGAACAAUAUAAAACCUAUUCUAAAUCGGACAAUAAUCUGUAAAAGAAAACAAACAGAUUUCCUUUAAUAUUGGAAUCCAUAUAUAUCUCCCCAGCUAACAUGGAUUUAGCUCUAAUUCCUAUUGACUAUCAAUUUAGUUAUGAUGUGAAAGUUCAAGCUGAGAAUAUAAAGAAGAUGCAUAGGUAUGUGACCAAAUAAUUAAACAAAAUGAGAAUUAUAAAGAUGAAACAUAAGAAACAAAUAUCUUUCAAGGAAAAAUAUUUGGUUUGGGUUUACCUUCAAAAGGAAUCAAUAAUUUUCACGAAGUAAGAUUCAAAGUUAAAAGAUAAUCGGUGUGAUGUAGAGACUUUCUACUAGUAUUCUCUUUGUAUCUCUAUAUCUCUCUAUAUUACUAGUAUUCUCUCUAUAUCUCUAUAUCUCUCAAUAUCUUUAUAUCUCUCAUGUCUACUUCUAUGUUUAUUUAGGUUUGAUAAUUUUCAUUUACAUGAAGGUGAGAAAAUGUUAGAAAAUAAUACAUUUUAAGAUCUCACCUAACAGAUUAAGCUAUUGGGUUGAGAUGAUUUUUUAAUAUGGUAUUAAAACCUUGAUGACAAAGCGGUCACGAGUUCGAAUCUCACCAUUCCCUAUUUAUUUGAUAAAAAAAAUUAAACACAAGGUAAAGUGAGUCUGUAUAAGUUUAAAGCCUAAAAAAAAGGGCUUUUACUUGAGAGGAUGUGUUAGAGAAUAAUAUAAAUCAUAUCUUAAGACCUCACCUAACAGCUUAAACUAUUGAGUUGAGCUGCUUUUUUAAUAGAAAAUGGGUGAAUGAGAAAUUAAAUUUAAAGUAAAGUCGAGUUUGAUUAAAACAAGGAGUUGUGUCUAUUUGAAAUAAAAUAAUUUAUUUUCAAAUUUAAAUAAAAAACUAUUAGACAAUUACGUAUGUUCAUGAUAGAGUUGUGUUUAUAUUUGUUUUGUUUAUCAUUUUAAAUGCUGUUGAUGAUAAGUUAUUGAAUAAACCUAAAAAACGAUAUUGUAAUUAAACUAUAAACACCACAAGGCAGGUAAUAAAUAAUUUAUUUCUAGCUUAGGCUACCAUUACAAGAACAGAUGUCACUACAUUUCUGGAAGCAUAAAUAACAAAAUUCCUCUUCUUCCAUUCUUUACGAAACGAAACCAACGGUGAAGUCUUUUGAUCUAGUAUUGCAUGUCCUAAUUUCUUUCUGAUAAAUAGUAAACUGAUUUAGAGGGGUUUUAGACCACUUUAAAGAAAAAAUUAAAACAAAUUGGGCAAUUUAUGGUUUUCACCGCUGUUUCUUAUUUGACUAGGCUUCUUUGAGGUGCAAUUUUAGAGUAGGAAAGCAAAGACUCAAGUCAACAGGAAAGCUUAAAAUAAACAGGCAGGCCAAAAUAUUUAAUAAUAAUAAUAAUAAUAAGAAGAAUAAGAAGAAUAAGAAGAAGAUUUCUGUUAUCCUAUAUGAUAAUGACUUGAUAAUAUGCAGUUAACGAGACAAGAAGAAAGAACUGAAAAAAAUAGACGAAAAAACAAGUGUGCAAUCGUCUUUGCUAGACAGGAAGACUUGUCAAACGAAACAACUAUUAAAUAAAGGACGAAUAUUGAAAUCAUUUAGCUCCAAUCACUUUUUCGUGGAAUGGUGUGACUGGUAGAAAGCAGGAACAGAUGUCACUGCAUAUCUGGAAGCAUGAUAUUUUCUAGCUUCAACUCCGUAGUCAAUCGACGAUCGGCUACCGUGCCUCUAAUAUUGUCAGACUAACCUCAUUUAAUGAAUGAGCUUCAUGCUUGCUUGAUGAACUGUCCUUUUCAGAUGGAUUCUUUCCCAUAAAAAAACCAGGCUGCUUAGGCUGAGGCAAUGGAUUCUCACUGCCUAACAUUACAACCACAGUCGACAUGGUUGGUCUGUCUUGUGGUCGCUGUUGCACACAUAAUAAAGCCACAUGAAUGCAUCUUAAAACUUCAGCUAGAUUGCUCGAAUCACUCAAACCUUCAUCAAUCAGGUCCAAUGGUGUUCCUUUGGUCCAAAGAAUCCAUGCCUUCCAAAACAACACAGCGUAUCAGUGGAUGGAUCAUUCUGAUUUGCAUAACAGCAAUGAAUAUAUCUUUAUUCAGUUGACUAUAGAAGUAUCCAGAAGGAAAAUGCUAUGUGUUGUAUACAAAAGCUUACAUGUCCAAGAAGGUUAAGGUUCUGGUCUGGGUGACAAAAUCCCUGUUUUUCCCCUCCACUCACAAUCUCCAGAACUAGACACCGAAACUGAAGACAUCCGAUUUCACAGAGAAGUGUCCAUCUAAUGCGUACUCAGGAGACAUAUAUCCACUGCAAAUAAUAUCGGCUAGAUAAGUUCUGAAAGCAUAUAAAUGCAAUACAACGUGGCCAGUUAAGAAUACUUACUAUGUCCCAACUACCCUUUUAGUAUUGGCCUCCACUUGAUCUCCACCAAACAUUCGAGCAAGGCCAAAAUCUGAAAUUUUUGGGUUUAGCUCAUUAUCCAGUAAAAUGUUGCUGGCUUUAAUGUCUCUAUGAAUGAUCCUCAGUCUAGAGUCUUGGUGAAGAUAAACAAGCCCUCGAGCUAUUCCUCCAAUGAUGUGGAUACGCCUUCUCCAAUUCAGUAAUUUCCUUCUGGUUAAAUCUGCUCAAUUUCUCUACCAUGUUAGUCCAGCACCAGCUCUUCUUAUAGAAGCAUUAAUUGAUAAAUGAUAAAUGAAAAAAAAAAAAAACAUGCUAUCUAUUGAUCAGUAUAGGCUCAAACCAAAAAUAAUGGAGUCCAAGCUCUUGUUUGGCAUGUAUUCAUAGAUUAACAUUUUGUCAUCUUUAUGGAUGCAAAAACCGAGAAGCUUCACAAGGUUGCGGUGCUGAAGUUUAGCAAUUAACACAACUUCAUUCUUGAACUCGUCCAUUCCUUGCCCAGAACUUUUGGAGAGCCUUUUCACUGCUAUUUCUUGUCCAUCUACCAAUGUACCCUAAAUCACAAAUAAUCAACAGAACUUAAUUUAAUAUUACCAUAUUGUUUGCACAAGUGGCAGAGUUCUAUUCACCUUGAAUACUGGUCCAAAACCACCUUCUCCCAGCCUGUUCAUGCUAGAGAAAUUAUUAGUGGCACGUGCUAUCGUGUUCAAAUCAUAUAUAGGUAACUCCAUGUCUUCUUUCCUCUCUUCGCUGUUGUCAUUCUUUCUGAGACAUGUUUUCCUUGUGUAGGAGACAACUCCUAGUAUCAGCAAACCUAGAACCGAUAUGACAGAGCUAGCAAUUAUUACUGUUUUCUUCUUCUUAUCGACAGGUCUUUUUUUCUCAACAUUUUCUGCAAGCAAAGAGGAAUUGUUAGUGGACGCAUUCUUUUAGUUCAACAUCACUUGUUAAAUAGAAGUUGAAUAAAAUCUUGUAAUUUUUUUUCAGUGCUGAGGGCUAUUCUCGAAAUGGAAAUUAGGAGAAGUGAAAUUUUAGAGCAUGUUCAGAUAGGAAGAUGGAGUAGAAGAAACGACGCUUUCUAGUUUCUAGUUUUGAUGAAUGAAAAGUGAUAUAGCUUGGCUUGAGAUAACAAGUGAUUCUGAUUAGUUAGGUGUGGAUUUGUCAUGCUAGAUGAGGAUCUAUCCUAAAUAGAUUAUGUGGAUGGUCUAAUAUAUUAUUAAUUUCUAGGCCUAAGAGGAAUUAUGGAAGCUCUAGACCAAAAUAAUGGCUUAAAAAGCUAUAAAUUUUUAUUCGACUAUUAAAUUAGAUACUUUUUGAAGGAUGGGUCAUGAUGUUUGUGUGCAGACAACCACACCAUCAUCCAAAUCAUAGUAAAAUACACGUUCCCUACAUCGCUUUUAGAUGGCGUGUUAGACUAAUUAACAAGGUCUAAAGUAUGCUCCAAAAUUAACCUCAAGAGUUGAUAUCAUCAUAUCAAAAUCAAACUAGGACAUGAAUGGAAGACAACCUUCAAAACUCAUAAUGGGUUAUAUGAGGGGAUGAUUAUGCCAUUUGGUUUGCACAAUGCUUUUAGCACCUUAAAAUCUCACUUAUGGGUAGAUUUGUUAUGGUUUAUUUUGAUGACAUUCUAAUUUAUAGUCUUAUUUGGAGCACCUAUAGCCUAUAUAUUUUUAAUACUUAUGCAAGGAACAAUUAUGUGUCAACCAAAAGAAGUGUAAAUUCUUUAUUGAUAUUGUUGCUUUUUUUUUUUUUUGCUUUAUUGUGUAUGUUGAUGGUGUUCAAGCUGAUCAAUGGAAGAUUUUUACAAUUGUGGAGUGGCCAACAUUGAGAAGCAUUCAUGAUGUUUGGAGUUUUCACGAUCUUGCAUAUUUUUAUAGAAGGUUUAUCAAGAACUUAAAUUCUCUUAUUGCACCCAUUAUAGAGUGCCUAAAAGGAUAUACCUUUUAGUAGACAAAUGAAACUAAAACCAAUUUUUAGAUGGUAAAGCAGAAAAUGACUGAAGCUAUAAUGUGGGCAUCACUAGACUUUGAGAAACUAUUUGAAAUAAAUUGUGAUGCUUCUAGGAUAGGUAUUGGGAUGGACACCUAAUCGCUUUUUUUAAUGAGAAACUAUCCCGCUCAAAGAAAAACUACUCCAGAUAUGAUUUGGAGUUUUAUGCUAUUGUUCAUAUUCUAAAACAUUGAAGGCAUUACCUUGUACAAAAAGAGUUUAUUUUAAUUACAAAUCAUGAAGCUCUAAAGUACAUAAAUGGGCAAUAUAAGCUAAGCCCUCGACAUGUAAAGUGUGUUGUUUCUGCAAAAGAUUACAUUUCCAUUAAAACAUCAUUUAACAACCUAAAUAAGGUGGUUGAUGCUCUCGCUAGGUGGGUUACCUUGCUUACCACUAUACGCAUACAUGUGUGAUGUUUUGAAAAUAAAUUACUAGGAAAAAGGCAACCAAGCCCUUGGAGGCUUAGAAGUAAGUAUAAUUAAAUGAGGGGUAUUGUGGUAAUUGAACAAUAGUUGAUAAAUAUAAAUAGAAAAAAAUAAGAUAGAGGGAUCUGAAAAUUGAAGGAGCAAACCGUGAGAGAGAAGGGAGGAAGAAGAAGAAGAAGAAGAGAAAAGAGGGGGAAAUAAGGAAAAAGGAAGAGAUUGGGAGAAAAUAAGUUUAAAGGUAAUAUUUAGGUUUAUAAAUGUAUAAAUGUGUUCUUUGAACUUUAAAUUUUCGUUUUGAUGAAUGUUAGGGUUUUGAAGAUUGUGUUUUGGAUUUGAUUGAUGAAUUAAUUUGAAUGUUAUGGGUUGAUUAUUAUGGAUAAUUGAUUAUUUAGUUGAUUAUGGAAGUUUAUAAGUAAAGAUGAUAAUUUGAGUUAUGAUUUGUGUAAAUGGUGAAUUUUGAGUUAGAAAUUUGGAAAGAACAGCAGAUUUUUUGUUGAAAUUCUGGGUUUGAGGUUGAAGAUGAUAAAUUUUCGGUUUGGUCCCUCAAUUUGUGACCAUUACAAUUUAGUCUCCAAACUUUGGAAAAUUACAAAUUGAUCCCUGGAGAAUAUUCCGAGAUUCUAAACAGAAUAAAAUAUGAAUUGUGGGCAGAAUUCCAGUGGAGUUAUUAAUUUUUAACACUUUCAAUUUGGUCCUCCAAUUUGACAAAAAAUACCAUUUAACCCUAAAAAUUUGGUAAAAUUCCAGAAUGGUCCCUGGAGCAUAAUAAGAUAUUAUGGACAGAAUUGAGUAUUAAUUAUGGUCAGAAUUUCAGUAUAGUAAUGGAUUUAUGACAAUUUUAGUUUGGUCCUCCAUUUGACAAAAAUUACAAUUUGGCCCUAAAAAUAUGAUAAAUUCCAGAUUAGUCCCUAGCUGUAAUAUUAGCUUUUUCAGAUUAGUUUGAUGAAUAAUUAAGGGUUACUUAGUGAAUUAUUACCAAUUUUAUUAGUUGUUUUAUUAUGGAUUAGAUUUCGGGAAAACCGUUAGAUUUUGGGUUUUUGAGAAAAUUGACUGGUUAGUUUAAAAACAUAUAGGGUUACGGAAUACACUCUUAGUUAAGUGUAUUAAAUAGGUUAAAUGUUCUUUCGAGUCGUUCUUGAAUAUGUCUCCUUUGUAUUCAGAUAAUCCUGAUAUUCUACCGGCGGGACGUCAGUAGGAUUUUCUUCGGUAUCUGCUUUUGAGUUCUGUUUGCUUUUGAGUCAGGUGAGUGGAUAAUUUUCCAUAUGCAUGAGAAAUAUUAUAAAUAUUUGAUUUGUUAAUAUGAAUUGGAUCAUGCUUCUUGAUAAUAUAUAUGUUGAUUAUUAUCCUUGAUAUGAUAAAGCAUGAUCAAUUAUUGAAUCUGAUUUCUUGAUAUGAACCAAUAUAUACUUAGAAUUGACUUCUGAAUUGAUAGCUCCUCAUUUGAUUGAUGUCAUGAGUUGAGCUUUGAGAUAUGAAUAUGUUUGUUUGAUUAUGAUUAUGAUUAUGAUUAUGAUUAUGAACCUAUGGUAUGCAGUCAGAAUACCCAUGCUAACAUGGUAGUGUUAGUUUUGUGCACAUCGUAUCUGAACCCUAGUUGGUCGGGGGAGUCACCAACCUGUGUGGACUGAUCAUCCCACAGUACGGAGCCUCAUGCUCAUUGCAUUUUGAUUUUCUGACGAGUUUUACCAUAUGAUACUUGUUAUGGCCUAUUUGAUAAACCUUCGUAUAAGAACUAAGCCAUACUUGUAUAUAUAUUUCUCAUUGUUUAUAUUACCUCGUGUGUAUUGAACGUUAUCUACUCAUUGAGUUUUUUAACUCACCCUCUCAUUAUUUAUCCUUUUCAGGCUUAUAGCUUGAUAGCAGGUCAUUUUUGUUGGACCUUCAGAACCUGCUCUUUUUGUUGUAAUCUGUACAUUUUCCUUUAUAUCUAGUUAGUGCUCCAAAACCAUGAAAUUAUAUUAACUCUUGUAUUAAUACAAUUGAAUUAUAUUAUAAAGUUAGUUUAUUGUUAAUGUUGUGUUGAACUCUGAUUGAGUUGUUUAAAGGAUAAGAUUGUAUGAAAGAUUGGGUUCGCAUAGGUAUGGAACCUUGAAGGGGAAUAUUGUCUAUGUGCCGGUCAUGGAUCCGGGAAUCGGGUCGUGAUAAUAUGUGUCAAGAUUUAAUAUUUUUUGUGAGUUGUAUUUAAUUGAUUUCUCAUUUAGGAAAAUUUAUACUGAGUUAUUAGAGGGAGGUACGAAAAAACUUUAUACUUGUGAAUGAUUAUCUUUUUCAUUGUUUACAUCUAUUUAUUCCAAUUUGUUCUUUACAUAAGCAUAUCAUUCAUGAAUGACUUUGUAAGGGGCAUUUUAAAUGGGUUCAGACAUUGACUCUAGUGUUAGCAGAUUAUUAUUGGCCUCAAUUGCCAAGUCAAAUUUUCAAUUUUGUCAAGAAGUGUGUUGUUUGUGAGAGAUCCAAGGAGACCUUAUCAAAUGAUGCAUCGUACACCAUAUUACCAAUUCUUGAUGCUCCAUGGCUAGACAUUAGCAUGAAUUUUGUAUUAGACUUACCACAUACUCAAUGCCAUGAAUUCUAUUUUUGUUGUCGUUGAUAAGUUCUUGAAAAUGGCCAUAGAAAGACCAUGAUGCAUCUUGGGUAGCCCAACUUUAACUUCAUUGAGGUGGUUUGUUUGCAUAGCAUUCAUAGAUCCAUUACUUUGAAUAGAAAUAUAAAGUUUAUGAGUAAUUUCUAAAAGAGCUUGCGGGGAAACAUGGGUAGUCAAUUGAAUUUUAGUAGGUUUAUCAUCCUCAAACAAAUAAUUAAUUAUAAUCUUGACAACUUACUGUGAAGCCUAAUUGAAGAUAAGUUGAAACAGUGGGACAUUGCAUUGCAACAGGUGGAGUUAACUUAUAAUAGGUCUCAUAACUGGACCACCAACUGAUUUCCUUUGAGAUAAUCUAUGGAUAGGAUCCUUCUUGAGUAUUGGAGUUAAUUCUUGUUCCUUGCAUCAAACAACUAAGUAUAUAAGCUACAAAUAUGAUAGAUUACUUGCAUGACAUUCAUGAGGAGGUCAAAUAAACAAACAAAUUUUUGUGUUCUAUGUUUGUUUAUGUCUUUUAACUUCUGCAUGUAUAGAAAAGAUUCAUAUGCCAAAAAUCAACCUAAAGGUGCUCACAAUACUGUAGGAAAACCAAUUCUAUACCUUUUUAAAUGCUUCCUAUGAAGUGUUUUCACUGGCUUAAGAACAAACAACGGAGACUAUUAAAAUCAGUAUUCAUUCGCAUUAAGAAGAGGCAUACCUAAUUCUGAAACCGCAAUCCUGACAUAAAGGUCUUGUCCAUCCCCUUUUGACCUACUUGUAUCAAUGAGGCCACCAAACCAAAUCAGGCAGCCACUUCCACCUCCUCUGAUAUCUAAAUUUGCAUAUGCAGUGCAGGAGCAGUUCUUCAAACAUAUUCCCUUACAUUCCUCGAGACCAGUGCUGUUAUUAUACCAGGAAGAAGAUGUGUCAGGCAAUUUCAUCCGCGAAUAAUUUUGAAAGCGAUCUUGGUCACUGCAAGGAGUCCUUCGAAAACACCCACCUGACCAAUUCGACAACUUCCAAUCUCGUGGAGACUUGGGUAUGAAUCCAUCCAGGCAUGCGCAUAUAGGCGAAUUAUUCAACUGGCAGUAAGCAUUUGGACCGCAAAUAGAAUACUGUGCACAUAUAUCAGGCUGGGCAAUUUCAACAAAGUCCCAUUGAUGUGUUCGAUCAUUCCAUAUUGAGCGUUGUGGAAUACCCCGUGGAGUUAGUUUAAGCCUCGGAAAACCUAAGCUUUUGCUCCCAAAAACGAAAUAUCCCUCCUUGUCGUUGAGCACAAAAUCAUCUGUUGAAAUUGAAUCAGGUUUCGGAAUUAUUUCUGCAGCAUAACGUAUGCCAUUCCAUGACCCAAUUCUAACUUGUGUUUUAUUCCCCUUCUUCAAAACUAGCUGCGGAUACCCGUUAGGAUCUAGAAGGAAAGAAAAUUCACCUCGAGCAGGAUCUUCUGAGCUCUUCCAGGAUGACAGAAAGCUUUCUAGCCGAGUUACAAAGUUGAUUCCCAGUUUCAUUCCUGGCAGCAAGGUGUCACCAGGAUAGUCAAAACUCUGCCACAGAAAGUUGUCAGUGUUGUUAUCAUUUUCUUCUCUUACAACAAGAUUUCCCGACUCCAAGAGCUCUGCGACUGCAUUCUCUGCAGUUCUUGACGAAUUCGACGACCAAACAAUAUCGUUGGUGCUA